rnacentral:rRNA from 1 species
AUUGAACGCUGGCGGCAGGCCUAACACAUGCAAGUCGAGCGAGCGGCGGACGGGUGAGUAAUGUCUGGGAAACUGCGUGAUGGAGGGGGAUAACUACUGGAAACGGUAGCUAAUACCGCAUAACAUCAGAUGUGCCCAGAUGGGAUUAGGUAGUAGGUGGGGUAAUGGCUCACCAAGGCGACGCGCCCUAGCUGGUCUGAGAGGAUGAACAGCCACACUGGGACUGAGACACGGUCCAGACUCCUACGGGAGUCAGCAGUGGGGAAUAGUGGACAAUGGGCGCAAGUCGUAUGCAGCCAUGCCGCGUGUGUGAAGAAGGCCUGCGGGUUGUAAAGCUCUUUUAGCGAGGAGGCGUUACUCGAACAGGAAGCACCGGCUAACUCCGUGCCAGCAGCCGCGGUAAUAC